GACGAACGCUGGCGGCGUGCCUAAUACAUGCAAGUAGAACGCUGAAGAGAGGAGUUUGCUCUUCUUGGAUGAGUUGCGAACGGGUGAGUAACGCGUAGGUAACCUGCCUUGUAGCGGGGGAUAACUAUUGGAAACGAUAGCUAAUACCGCAUAACAAUGGAUGACACAUGUCAUUUAUUUGAAAGGGGCAAUUACUCCACUACAAGAUGGACCUGCGUUGUAUUAGCUAGUAGGUGAGGUAACGGCUCACCUAGGCGACGAUACAUAGCCGACCUGAGAGGGUGAUCGGCCACACUGGGACUGAGACACGGCCCAGACUCCUACGGGAGGCAGCAGUAGGGAAUCUUCGGCAAUGGGGGCAACCCUGACCGAGCAACGCCGCGUGAGUGAAGAAGGUUUUCGGAUCGUAAAGCUCUGUUGUAAGUCAAGAACGAGUGUGAGAGUGGAAAGUUCACACUGUGACGGUAGCUUACCAGAAAGGGACGGCUAACUACGUGCCAGCAGCCGCGGUAAUACGUAGGUCCCGAGCGUUGUCCGGAUUUAUUGGGCGUAAAGCGAGCGCAGGCGGUUCGAUAAGUCUGAAGUUAAAGGCCGUGGCUCAACCAUAGUUCGCUUUGGAAACUGUCAAACUUGAGUGCAGAAGGGGAGAGUGGAAUUCCAUGUGUAGCGGUGAAAUGCGUAGAUAUAUGGAGGAACACCGGUGGCGAAAGCGGCUCUCUGGUCUGUAACUGACGCUGAGGCUCGAAAGCGUGGGGAGCGAACAGGAUUAGAUACCCUGGUAGUCCACGCCGUAGACGAUGAGUGCUAGGUGUUGGAUCCUUUCCGGGAUUCAGUGCCGCAGCUAACGCAUUAAGCACUCCGCCUGGGGAGUACGACCGCAAGGUUGAAACUCAAAGGAAUUGACGGGGGCCCGCACAAGCGGUGGAGCAUGUGGUUUAAUUCGAAGCAACGCGAAGAACCUUACCAGGUCUUGACAUCCCGAUGCUAUUUCUAGAGAUAGAAAGUUACUUCGGUACAUCGGUGACAGGUGGUGCAUGGUUGUCGUCAGCUCGUGUCGUGAGAUGUUGGGUUAAGUCCCGCAACGAGCGCAACCCCUAUUGUUAGUUGCCAUCAUUCAGUUGGGCACUCUAGCGAGACUGCCGGUAAUAAACCGGAGGAAGGUGGGGAUGACGUCAAAUCAUCAUGCCCCUUAUGACCUGGGCUACACACGUGCUACAAUGGUUGGUACAACGAGUUGCGAGUCGGUGACGGCAAGCUAAUCUCUUAAAGCCAAUCUCAGUUCGGAUUGUAGGCUGCAACUCGCCUACAUGAAGUCGGAAUCGCUAGUAAUCGCGGAUCAGCACGCCGCGGUGAAUACGUUCCCGGGCCU
rnacentral:rRNA from 1 species